CUCCCUGAAUCUCCUUUCAUCUUUACAAGAUAGACAUUUGGCCCUGUGCGGUAAGUUCUUCUGCCCGAUUUGCAGAUUUGGUAACUGAGGCUCAGAGCGCUGAAGUGUCUUGCCAGCAGCUGAGAAGUGGUCAAGCCAGAAUUGGAACCGGAGUUUUUUCUCCUUACAGUAAACUAAUUACCUAUCAAAGAACCUUGCAGGGGCUUUUGACUAACCAUCUUUUGAUGGUUCUUCGUUCUUUCACUUAAUCAUUUCUUGAGCACCACUGUGUGCCAGGCUUACUGGACACUGGGGAAACAGUAGGAACAAGACACUGUACCUGUCAAUGGAUGAUUCAGGAAAAGGAAGCAACAAUAAACAGAAAAAGAGUAUGAUGCCGAGAAGAAAAUGAACAAAUGAGCAGGAUGCUGAGUGGAAAGUGAGCAGUAGAGAUGUGCAGUUUCCAGGCCUGGCCCAUAGAAACCUUCAACAGGUGUUCCUCUAUGCUCUUACUUAUUCUGCCAGCUGGAAGCAAAUGAUGACCAGAUUCUGAAAAAGGCAAGGCCUCAAGAUAGAAGAUUCCUGGGUGGAAAAGAACUCUGCCCCUCGCCUAAAUGUCCGCUCAAGACUGUUAUAAGAGAAAAAAAUAAAUAAACUUAUAUUGUGUUGAGUUUUUA